AAUUAGUCUUUGUACUUCACUGCCCUUUAAAGUAUUACAAACAAGCAGUCUGCCAGGCCGGAUACCAUGUGCAUUUGGGUCAUGAUUUAAUAGAUAAAACAAGUUUCAUUGAAUAAAUGUAAUCACUUUUGUGCAGUCUGUUAAACGGAUGUUUCGUAGGGCAGCAUAGUCAGUAUCAUAGCGACAUGGUUUUCUGGGCGUAUUCAUGACCUACAGCUUCGCAGAAGACAGGGCAGGAUAGACAGUAUCAUAGCACACAUACCACAGACUCGCAGAAGACAGGCUUUAGACAACAUGCUCUGGAAUAUCAUCUUUGUAAGCUAUAAUGACCACCAGGAUGGAAGGAGAUAUUAUCGAGGUACGCCGCGUUUGGCUAGGCUAAUAGAUGACGUUGGAAGAGAUGAACCUAUUACAAGCGUACGGUUAUUUAGAGAAAUAGAAGAUCCUGCUGUUAGAGAAAUAUUUGAUGAUGAUCAUUGUUUUAUCGUAUUUGAAACAAUUACAUUAUUCUAUUCUAUCGAAAAGAAAUUAAUGAGAAUUAAUAAUAUAGAACAACCACCAACGAUAAUAAUGCAACGGAGUGCCAACCAACGCGACGUUACACAUUAUUGUAACCAACAAAUGCGACCUAACGAACCAGUCGUACUGCGUAUGCAAAACACCGAUAAUCUAAGCGUUUAUGCUCUAAUCGAGUUGCUAUAUAUAACAGGUGCAUGGGGCACGAGGAACCAACGAUUUGCAGCUUAUCUAUUCGAACAUGUAAUCCUACUGCCACUUGUGCUAAUUGAUGAUCAUCCUGAUGAUUUUGAUGAUAAUGAUGAUGUCGGUUAAAAACAUAAUUUACAAUUCAAUUGUUAAGCUGUGGAAGUGGUGUUUAUGACAUUUCAAAAUGUACUUAGAUUUCGGAAUUUUCUUAUAACAUGUUUGCGUAUGUGCUAUGCUUAAUAGUGUUCGAUUAUACCAGUUGUAUAUAAUUGUUCUCUUUUCCGUUAAAGAGCAAUAAAUUGUAUGUACACGAGAA